GGAAGAGGGACGGGAGGGGCAAAGCAAAAGAAAGCACUCCUCAGGCCCUGUGCCAGUGCUCUUGCUCAACCCUGGCGUCUGCCCAGCCCCCAGGGAGGUACCAGGUGGGAUGCUGGAGGCCCCGGCACGCUCGGGUCAGGAGUCGGACUCCCCAGUCUCAGUGCCCAGGUGCUGGAUGAAGCCCCCAUUUCUCUGUAGCCAAAUUCAGCUCCGCCAUGUCUGGCCCCUGCCCCCUGCCCCCUGUCCCCUUGCCUGCCCCUCCCAGGCUGCUCCGUCUCAGGAGCCCCCUGUCUCCGGGAGCUGAGGCCUGUUCACACUGAUGUCUGCCCUCGUCCCUCUAACACCUGGGCAGAGGGGGGGUGGGGAGCUCACAGCAGCCCAGAGAGGGUGGGCCCCGGGCUGAGCAGAGCCCCUCCCCACCUGCACCCCAACCCCUUAACAGAGGUCCUCUUCACGGCAGGCUGCAUUCUGCUUUCCAGUCUUCAACUCUGUCCAUCUUGCUUUUGUCAAGAGAGCCUCUUCUGGAACAGCUCCAGGCCCUUCCUUGUAAUAUUGAGCAGGAAACCCCACUUCUCCCAUAGCUGACCUCCUUCCUGAGGGCUGGAGAGGACACUGCAUGAAGGCUCCCCGGAGCCCCCUGACCCUCUCCAGGCCACUCCCCUUCCCCCUCCCUCUGCCCUUAACUCCUCUGCUGCCCCCUCCCCAGCCUCAGGACCCACCCCUCCUCCAGGGAACCUGAGAAGCCAAUGGGGACACUGAGGCAGCCAAGAUGGGUAAGCACCUGCUGGGGUCCACUUGUAUCUGGGAUCAGCCAGGCAGGUCCCUGAGCUCUGCCCAGCUUUCAGCAGGCCAGGGGGCGGCCCUGGACCCCUGCAUGUGGGAGUGCCCCCAGCCACCCCUCAUGUACUUCCACACUCUGGGUCCCACACUGACAGUCCCAUUGACCACGGGAGGGAGAGUGUGGAGCACCAGCUAGGGUCCAGGACUUGGGACACUGCUUGCCCUCCAGGCCUGGGCUGGCAGUGGGCAGGAGAGGGGCUCAGAGGCUGAAAGGGCAGGUUUCAGUAGCUCCACCUGCACAGGCCCCCUCCUCACGUUAAGGUCUGGGCAGUGAGGAUGCGGAGGGGCUCUUGGCCACCUCUACCCAGAGAAGCGGGCAGAAUCCCGGGAUCAGAACAGGUGGGUAUACUGACGGUCUCCCCACACCUCUUCACAUCUCACCCCUCAAUCUCAGUGAGAUCCCCACCCCACCAACGGCACGCGGCCACAGAUCUUCCGGGCUUGGGGUCCAGGGCCAGUGAGGUGAGGGGCGCCUGGGGGCUCUGGGCCUGGGGAGACACCACGGUCAGACCCGGGCAGGGGCAGGGGGCUAAUUGCUCCUUUUUUUUGAGGAAGAUUAGCCCUGAGCUAACUGCUGCCAAUCCUCCUCUUUUUGCUGAGGAAGGCUGGCCCUGAGCUAACAUCCGUGCCCAUCUUCCUCUACUUUAUAUGUGGGACACCUACCACAGCAUGGCAUGCCAGGUGGUGCCAUGUCCAUACCAGGGAUCCAAACUGGCGAACCCUGGGCCACCAAAGCGGAACGUGCGCACUUAACCACUGCGCCACUGGGCCAGUCCAUAAUUGCUCCUUAUUAAUGUACAACUAUCAGUGCAAAUAAUCCGUAACCAAUCUAUAAAUCAAAAUUGUGGUGAGUUUAUCAUGAGCCAAAUGUGAGGACCAUAUAGCCUGGGAGAGUCCUUCCACAAAGGAACGGAGCACUCCAAAGAAGUGGGGGUAUACAGAGUGGUUAUGCACCCUCAGAGAGCAUGUAUCCCACAUGAUUGAAAUGUCCCUUUUACAGUACUUACAAGACUGCUCUGAGGGCACAGUGAUUGAUGGACACGGUAGGUAGUAGGUCGGCUGUCUCGGUGGGCACAGCAGGGUGGCAGGUCUGUUGUCUCAAGCUGGGUGAUCACAGGUGAGCUGUGUGGUCACAGGUGAGCACAGCAAUCACUUCCUAGCCUAAGGAAAGAUGCUUAUCCUUAAGGAAAUGCUAAUAUGGGGGAAGUUGCAGCUUUACCUUAAGGGCAUUUGUUCUUGCCUUUGAGACAUAGGAAAUGCUUCAAGCAGACAUAAAUGUCUGUUCAAUGGCCACAUCAGGCCCUUUUGGAAAAAAAAAAAAAAAGUCCAGGCCAAAUCAGCUUUAUACCAAGUGGCUUCCUCAUAUACUCCAAUAUAUGCUAUUGCUUGUCAUUUUCAUCACAGCCCUUCCCCCAGGAUUGCAGGAAGCCCAGCUCCUCAGGACUGGAGAGGAAGGGCAUUCAACCCUGCCUCCCCCACACCUCCGUUGGGGCUCUGGGUGGGACCUUGCCCCCGUCUCCCCCCUGUGCUUCUCAGGGCGGAGACCUGGAGUGGUCCUGGGCUCCCCACUCUGCCCUCCCUGCGUAGCCCCCUCCCCCAGGGCCCAGUCAAGACCCUGGCCAGCUCCCCGAGGCCGGGCCAGCUCCCCGAGGCCAGGCCUGCUCCAAGCUCUCAGAAGGCAGUUGCAGCCUCGCCCUCCCUUGGGUAGGGUCCUGAGUCUCAGAUUUGGGUACCCAGUGGUACCUCACUUUUGGGGCCUCAGCCCUCCACCCCUCAGGGCCUAGUGAGAGCUGUGGUCCCUGUGGGACCAUAAAGGGGGCCACCCCUGGCAGGAGGGGAGACUGAGAACCCGGGCAUCCCAGGUCGCACUGUGAGCAGGAGUCCCCUGCCCCACCUCCUCGCUGCCCUCCUCUGAGGGGCCUCCAGAGCCACCGAGAGCAGGGGCAAGGCAGAGGGCUACUGUGGGGCAGAAAAAUAAUUGUCCCUCUACCUUCCUAGGCUCUUGGCUGAGACACUCCUUCACAACCCACCCCCACCCAAUAAAUGACAUUAACAGGAGAAAAACAAACACAAGUUUAAUGACAGGUAUAUCUCCCAUACACAUGGGAGAGACCCAGGAAAACUGGGGAACUCCUUGAAAUGGCCCAAACCACCACCUUAAAAACCAUCCCCGGCUAAAGACAAAGGAGGAAGGGGGGCAGCGCAGUGACAGGCAGUGACCAGGAAAAGCCCAGCGACAGAGGACAAGGCUGUCAUGCAGACAGCAGACCGCCUGCUCCACUGAUCAGUUUCUGGAGGUUAAGAGUCACCCUCCUCAUCCUGGGAGAGGGGGACGCCCUGACACGUGGAGAUUUCCCUCAUAAAUGGAAAUUUCCCUCACAAAAGGGCAAGUGCUACUGAGAGCUUCUGUGUCUGUUUGUUAAAAAUAAUCAGGCUAAAAUAAUCCUUAUGCCAAAGAAGCAGAUUUUGGGCUGACAGAUUCUGCUCCCCCUUGGCCCCAAGAAAGCCCGGGACCCCUUAGCGCUGCUUCUUUCCUGCCCCCUCCCCCUCCCUCUGCGAGGCUUUCAGGGGCCCCCUGCGGCUGAGAACUUGGCUCUUCCCACUUCGAGGGGCCCACACUGUGUUCAUGGUUCCAGGUUCUCUCUCCCUUUUUUUUUUUUUUUUUACAGAUUAUUUAUUUAUUUUUAUUUAUUUGUGGAGGUUUUCGAGGAAGAUCAGCCCUGAGCUAACAUCUGCCACCAACCCUCCUCUUUUUGCUGAGGAAGACUGGCCCUGAGCUAACAUCUGUGCCCAUCUUCCUCUACUUUACAUGUGGGCCGCCUGCCACAGCAUGGCUUGAUGAAUGGUGCGUAUGUCCACACCCGGGCUCCAGCCCCAGGAACCCUGGCCGCCAAAGCAGAACCUGCAAACUUAGCCUCUGCUCCACCGGCCCCGCCCCAGGUCCCUUUUUUCUUAAGGAAGAACCCUCCAAAGACCUGCCUCUCCAUCAUCGCAUGGCACUGCACCCAGAGGCUCACCCCGCGCCUUGGGCUCGGCUGCUGCAGGAGGACCCCGGCCUUGGAGCCAGGCCCCGCCCCUCCGCCCCCUCCGAGAAAGGAGGGCUCCGUGCCCCCUGGAGGCUCUGGUGGCUGGGGAGGGCGGGGCUCCAGGGGGGAGGAGGGGCUGCCCGGUGCUCUGGGCAGAGGAUGUUUUUUCACACUGACUCCUGCGGGAGGAGGGGCUCACAGAGCCGCUGAGUUUCGGUUUCCUGGCGCUCAGGGCCUGAGCCCAGGGCGGAGAAACAGAGAGAAAAAGCAGCCCUGAGGCGCAGGGGUCAUGCUCUCGGCCAGGCACGCCCUGCCCUUGGAGGAGGGUUUCCAGCUGAGCCCUCUGUCAGCAAGACCCGCGUAGACGGAGCCUGGAAGGGCCCAGCACGGGGGCAGCCAGCCUCUGAGACCCCAGGCCAGGCACCCCCGCCUCCCGCUCCCUCACGGGGACAGACAAGCAGAAAGCCGGGAAGUGGGGGCACCUGGGCCUGGGCAUGGCAUCGGAGCUCCCUUAAGGAGGCUCAGCCUGUCUUCAUUUUGUUCAUGCCUUGUCCCAUCCCUGCCUUCCUGAGUGCCCCAGCCCCAUACACACCACACCCACACUGUGGUCCCCAGGGAGACUUCGGAAGGCCCAGGAAAGGGACCAGGUGGGCCACACAGGAUGGACCGGGGUGACCAUGGGCCUCCUCCAAGCUGCUGGAGGGCAGGGCCUUCUGGGAGAGGACAGAGCCCUGGAGCACACACCCCUGGACAAGGAAGGGCCUGGUGCUGGGGAGGGGUGCCCCCGUGGGAGACCCAGAAUUGGUCCCUGGGGUCUCAGGGCUGGGAGUGGAGGGGUGUGAGAACGCAGCGUGCCACCCAGGCAGGAGCCCGAGUGGCUUUGAGAGGGUGGAGCGUCUGUGCUGUGUGCAGGGGCCCAGGUGGAUUGUUAAAUGUUCUAAGAGACAAAUGGGCUCUCCCUAACUGAGGCCUAAAGUCUUUUCUGUUGACCCCGGGGUGGUUUCUCAGGAGAAAUGGAAGCUUAAGCAAUGUAUAUGUGACCGCUGAUCCCUAAUGAUGCGGGGUCGGUGAGCCGAGGAGUCGAAAGAAAGAUUUCUUAGACUCUUAAGAUCUGGCAGUAGUGCUCUUUUAUUUAGAGAAUAGAAUAGCAUGGGGACAGGACCCAUGGGCAGUCAGAGCUGCUGCGUAGGGACAGGACCCACGGGCAGUCAGAGAUGCUGCUGGCAUAGGGAGCUGCUGCUGCCACUGCUGGCAUGGGGACAGGACCCAUGGGCAGGCAGAGCUGCUGCCAGCAUGUUGCUGUUGCUGCUGCGGCUUCUGUUGCAAAGUUGGGUGGAGAGUAAGGCUAAAUUUAAGGCAUAGGUAUGUGAGUUAUCUCUUUACAAGACAAAGGAAAGAAUAUGUAAAAAAGUUAAAAUGGUAUCAGUGCCUGUAGGGUCGGGCCAUUUGGCGGUCCCACAACUUUUAGAUUGAGUAAAUGGCAGAAGUCACCGCUUGAAUAUUACCCUCAGCUAAAGACAAAGGAGGAUUUUUGCGGGGGGAGGGGUGUCAGUUACAUGAGGUUGCCAGACAGUAGCCAACUUAAGUUCUUGCCUCUGGCAUUAAGAGUUUCUAGAGAUAAGGCCAUCCCCCUUCUUCCUGGCACAGAGAGGGAGGCAUCUUUACAGAUAGAGGUUUCCCUUAGAAAUGUAAAUGUUUCCCAAUGAAGGGGCAAGCAAAUUCUACUUCUCAGAGCCUGCCUCUCGUCUGUAGUUUUAAAAUUAACCAGCCUAAAAAUCCACAUCACCUGACUUAUGACGUUUUACAACCGACCUUUCAUCAAGGUUCCUGCUUUGCUAAUCGAGAUGAGAGGAAGACUGCAGCCAGCAGUCAGACCACCAGACCACGUCUGUAGACUGCAUCGGUCACUGUGGCUGUGGGAUUAGGACUGACACCAAACCCCAGUGGUUUCAGCCCGUGUGGUCCUCUCCUGCCCGACCCUUCCGAGCACUGGCCCCAGACCUCCGUGGUCCACGCGUCCGCAGCCCGCAGGCUGUCACGGGAUGAAAUACAUGUCAGCUUCCCUGGCCCUCGGACCUUGGUGUUUCCUUCCGGCUUGACGGUUUGGAGGACACCUCCUGAUGGGGGAGGGCAGAGCAGGAGAUCCAGGAACAACCCAGCAGCCCCAGCCAGGGCUCAGGCCUGCAGAGACCUGCCUGCCCCGCCAGUCCCUGCAGGGGACCCAGGUCUGUGGGACUAGGGGCCAUGCCAGCAGGCCAGCCAUGAGUGGGGUCGCUCUGCCAUCCAGUGUCCUGAUGACGGCUCUGUGACAUGCAGAGUGGCUUCCCUCCUCUCUCACAGGGCCCCUGAUUGUCACCUUGGUAGCUUCUUCCCAAGUGCCCUCAGCUGCAGUCAGCGUUAGAAGGGCCUGACUGUGGCUGUUGAGCACACAUUGUAUAUCUGCUUGGACAUUUCCUAUGGCCAGAACAAAGGCCCUUGAGAUAAAGGUCCUCCCCCUCCGACAUUGGCAUUUCCUUAGGGAUAAGCAUCUUUCAUUAGGCUACGAAGUGAUUGCUGCACUCACCUUUGACCACCCAGCUCACCUGUGACCACCCAGCUGGAGACAACAGACUGCCACCCUGCGGGGUUCACUGAGACAGAAGACCUGCCUGCUGUUUCCAUCAAUCGCUGUGCUGACAGAGCAGUCUCGCGACGAUUGUAAAAGGGACAUUUCAAUCCUAUGUGAAACAUCCUCUUUGGGGGUAUAUAACCACUCUGUGCACCCCACUUCUUUGGUGCCCUUUCUUCCUUCGGGAAGAAAGGCCCCAGGUUAUAAUCCUCAAAUUUAAGCUCAGAAUAAACUCACCCAAAUUUUCAUUUAUAGAUUGGUUAUGGAUUAUUUUCGUCGACAUUGGUGAGCCAGGAGCCUGGUGGAGAUUGGAGGAGGAGAGAGCAGUGGGAUUUGACCCGCCACCACCUCCUGCAGGGUCCCCUGGGACAGUCCCUGUCCCCCCACUUCCCAUCGCUUCUCUGGGGCAGUGUCCCCAUGGCCCUCUCACCCCCUUUGCAGCCUGGGCGGUAGGUCGCUCGUGACCCUGCAGCCAGCCCUGGAGGCACUGUGCGUGUCUCUGGUUUCCCGGGGUCCUGCCUACCCCUCUCCAAAUGGUGCUCAGAGGCCACUCUCUCCUGGUUUUCUGACUUGGGUGGUCAUCUGUUUCUGUUGGGAGCCUGAUUGAGACACUGCCUCUGCCUGACUCUCGAGGUGGGGGAGGGACUCCAUCA
rnacentral:lncRNA from 1 species